GCCUGGCUGGCUCAUUUGGAAGAGCAUGUGACUCUUGAUCUCAGGGCUGUGAGUUCAUACCCCAUGUUGGGUG
rnacentral:tRNA from 1 species